CCCUUAGAUGUUCUGGGCCGCACGCGCGCUACACUGAUGCAUUCAACGAGUCUAAAACCUGCUCUGAUAGGGGUGGGUAAUCUUUUGAAUGUGCAUCGUGAUUGGGAUAGAUGAUUGCAAUUUUUCAUCUUCAACGAGGAAUGCCUAGUAAACGCAAGUCAUCAGCUUGCAUUGAUUACGUCCCUGCCCUUUGUACACACCGCCCGUCGCUCCUACCGAUUGAAUGAUCCGAUGAAUAUCAUGGAUUGAGGAUGCAAGUAGGUUAGCCUAUCUUCAUCUUCGAGAAGUGAAGUAAAUCUUAUCAUUUAGAGGAAGGAGAAGUUGUAACA
rnacentral:rRNA from 1 species